UACGAAGGGGGCUAGCGUUGCUCGGAAUCACUGGGCGUAAAGCGCACGUAGGCGGACUCUUAAGUCAGGGAUGAAAUCCUGGAGCUCAACUCCAGAACUGCCUUUAAGACUGCAUCGCUUGAAUCCAGGAGAGGUGAGUGGAAUUCCGAGUGUAGAGGUGAAAUUCGUAGAUAUUCGGAAGAACACCAGUGGCGAAGGCGGCUCACUGGUCCGGUUCUGACGCUGAGGCGCAAAAAGCGUGGGGAGCAAACAGG
rnacentral:rRNA from 1 species